rnacentral:misc_RNA from 1 species
AUUUCAAGGGCCGAAACCCUUAAUCUGCGUUAUUCCUUUACAUUAGACAGUUAUGGAUAACUGUUCCUUCUUUCUUUUUACAUAUCUAAGCAUGUCGUUUAAAUUAAAAUGUCAAUUCAGAAUCUUUAGAUACAAACACUAUACCAUUUAAAUUUAAACCAAUGCAUUAACCAUGUUACUUUAUUCAACUAAUUCAUUUUGAAUUUUCACAAAAAGUUAAGCAAUAAGACAAUUGUCCCUUUUUUCAUCCCAAAACUCCAUUAUCUUUCAAACAUUGCUGAGGAUAAAAAAUCUAACAUACUUCUCUCUUCAGAGGUUUUUGACUCAAUUUGCAGGUGAAGCAGAACAAAAAUAAUCAAAGGA